rnacentral:ncRNA from 1 species
UCAAACGCGAAGACACAGAGUAGUAAGCAGGAACGUCCUUUCAGAGAAGUGCCGGGUGGUGCGAGGCACAAAGCGUACAGACCUGCCGAACUGGCUGAACAGCGGCUGCGCUGAACGAUGAGUAGGUGCAGACGGGUGCGCCCGUUAUUGUGCAGGGAUAUGAUGGUAUCCCGUGUGAGUGCGUCCCCUGAUUUUGGGGGCGAAGAAGAGUGGUACCGCGGAGGGUUUUCGGCCUUUCGUCUCUUCU